CCUUGUCUGGUGUAGUGGUUAGCACGUUGGUUUAUGGUGCUGAAGCUCUAGGGUUCAAUUUUGCCUCUUGACACUGU